GCUGACCAAGAGACACUGUGGUUAGUGGUUUAAAAGUAAAUCCGGGAAGUCAACUUUUUGCUUCAAAAUAUAUUUUAAUCUUCUAGCAAAACAAGCAAUCAGAUAUAAAUGUCCCUUAUAAAUAGAUAACUACGGCCGGGCGCGGUGGCUCAUGCCUGUAAUCCCAGCACUUUAGGAGGCCAAGGCAGGUGGAUCACCUGAGGUCGGGAGUUCAAGACCAGCCUGGCCAACAUGGUGAAACCCCGUCUCUACUAAAAAUACAUAAAAUAGGCAGGCAUGGUGGCAGGUACUUGGUAUGUGGGAGGCUGAGGCCGGAGAAUCACUUGAACCCGGGAGGCAGAGGCGGUGAGCUGAGAUGGCACCACUGCACUCCAGCCUGGGCGACAGAGUGAGACUCCAUCUCCAAAAAAUAAAUAAACAAACAGAUAGAUAACUACUAUAUAAGUCUCUUUUCUAUCACAUAUAACACAACAUCCGGCAUGUUUACACUAGGGAGGAAGUUUCUCAAACAGUAACGUCUAGGGCUAACGUGGAUAAGCCGGAAAGGAAGCACAUCAGCAUCUAUCCCUGUGAAACACUGGAUUGAGUGGUGAACUUCUAGAGUAAGCAAGGGAUUUCCAUCAAAGACCCUUUAGGAAGCCUGGUCAAACAGACUAUCAUCUGGUCAAAACCAUGAGUUCCUGGAGGAAACACAUUUUCUUCUCCAUUUCAAAGACACUGCAUAUCCUUAGAAACCCUUCAUUACAGAGGGUUAGUGUUAAAAACCUCAGUGGUAGGGUAUAUAUUAUAUAAGUUAAAAAAUAAAAAAGAAGAAGCCCUCUAAGGCUCAAGCAGAAAUAUUCUACAGAGGGGAAUUUUUUAGGCAGAAAGAAACAGCUAGGUAAGCAACCCAUAACUUUCUCCCCCAUUGCUUUUUCUCACUUCAGGAGGCCCAGUAUGGUGGUGAGAAGAACCAGAAGGCACUCAAAAUUUAGGCCAGAAGGAUACGGUCUUCUAAGAAGACUUCAAGGCUGUUAUAAAGACCCAGUGGUGGGAGAAACCUGAUCCGGUAUAGCGGGGCCAGAAGAAGCUGCGGGACCAUGCCGCGGGGACAAGGCAAGGAGUUUCGCCAGGAUGUUGAUCUCCUGGUUAUCUACACUUCCGCCUCAGUAUGAUCUGAAUUAUUAAUGAGAAAGAUUAAGAUACAGAUUCCUUCCUUCAAGUGCCUUAGUAGUCACAGACAGGAGGUUAAUUAUAAGACUAAAAGCAAUCUUGGGUUGUUAGAAGAACUUAAAGGAAAACACCUUUCAACUUCUUGUUAUCAAUCAAUCAUUUUUGUCUUUAGAAAUCAAGAAUUUGAACAAUAACAGCUGCUUUCAGAAAUAAACCGCGACUUUGUGCAGCGUGUAUUACCUGACGAGCUGAAAUGCAUUGUUAAUGAGACUCGCCCGAUCAUUACUGCUGACUGCUGUGUGUGUUCCUUUUAAAAGGCCAGUCAAAGAGUCCCAUCCAUCAUCCUCGUAAUGCACAAUGUAAUAGCCAUUCAUGCCCACAUUAAAUUUGAUCCAUUCCACCUCUUCUGGGAGGAUGAGCACAUCUAGAGUAAAUAAAAUAAAUCAAAGUUCCAUUUGCUCCCCUGCCUGAAGAAAGCUUUUCUCAUCCAAGAUUGGGCAAGGAAAUUAGAGAAGAGUUUAAUACUGAAAAAUUUGAAAACAUCACUUAUUUCUCUCAGAAACCAGAAAACAGCAACUCAAUAGACAAAAGCUAACACUAGCUUUAGACAUCAAUUUUGUGAGAUUUACAGAUCUAUGAAAAGAAUGGCAACUACAUCUCUGGCCAUACAUAUGAUAUAACCCAGUAAUGUUAACAAAGUAAUAGUGAAUGUUCACUGGUAAUCCCUCCUUUUUAGCAUUAUAUAAUUCAGCUAUAAUCUCUAUCUGGCAAGAUAUUGGCCAUUCUUCUUUGAAACCAGAAAGCAUUUUCAAUCUGAUCCCUUUUGCUUUAACCAAGAUAAAUAGCAAAAGAAACAGCACUUUAAUCCUACACAUUUUCACAUUCCUCCUUGAAUUAACUAGUAGUUUCCAAAAUAAAUUACCUGUUUUUGUUUUUAGCAAAAAUCGAUGGACCAUGUCGGAUUUGCUGGUGAUGAAUGUCAAUGGAACAUGCCACAGGUACCUAAAAUAAAGGAGAGGUGGAUUGUUCAUUUGUUGAUUCAAUUCAACAAGCAGUUAUUAAAUCACCUAUCAUGUGCCAGGCACUGGUUAGUUUAGAACAAGAUAGUACCAAAACUGCUACAGCCAAGCUCUCAAAACAUCCCCAGUCUGUUUUCCAGCUUUGUAGGGAGUGUCAGCUCGGGCACUAUUUCCUUUUCUUGGACUCCUUGAGUAGAGCUAAGAAUUUGGACUCACGUGAACCCUGAAAGCCUUUUUACAGUGAUUGGCUGAUUGCAUCUCAGAGGCCUAACUUCAGGACUCAUGUGCCUCCUGAAUAGUAUAUUAGGAAGGACACAAUAUCACCUCCUUGGGAUUCCUGUCAAUGAUAUGUAAGCUGAACCUGAUCAUGGAGAAACAGCAGAAAAUCCAAACUGAAAGGCAUUCUAUAAAAUAACUGGCCAGUACUCUUCAAAAAAUGUCAAUAUCGAGAAGCCCAAAAAAGACUGAAGAGUUGUUUCAGAAAAAAAUGGAGACCAAAAUGAUGCAACAACUAAAUAAAAUAAGUGAUCCUGUAUUAAA